rnacentral:rRNA from 1 species
AUUGAACGCUGGCGGCAGGCCUAACACAUGCAAGUCGAAUGGUAACAGGAAACAGCUUGCUGUUUCGCUGACGAGUGGCGGACGGGUGAGUAAUGUCUGGGAAACUGCCUGAUGGAGGGGGAUAACUACUGGAAACGGUAGCUAAUACCGCAUAACGUCGCAAGACCAAAGAGGGGGACCUUCGGGCCUCUUGCCAUCAGAUGUGCCCAGAUGGGAUUAGCUAGUAGGUGGGGUAACGGCUCACCUAGGCGACGAUCCCUAGCUGGUCUGAGAGGAUGACCAGCCACACUGGAACUGAGACACGGUCCAGACUCCUACGGGAGGCAGCAGUGGGGAAUAUUGCACAAAGGGCGCAAGCCUGAUGCAGCCAUGCCGCGUGUAUGAAGAAGGCCUUCGGGUUGUAAAGUACUUUCAGCGGGGAGGAAGGGAGUAAAGUUAAUACCUUUGCUCAUUGACGUUACCCGCAGAAGAAGCACCGGCUAACUCCGCG